rnacentral:rRNA from 1 species
UACGGGGGGUGCGAGCGUUGUCCGGAAUCACUGGGCGUAAAGGGUGCGUAGGCGGCCGUGCAAGUCUGGCGUGAAAGCCCCGGGCUCAGCCCGGGAAGUGCGCUCGAAACUGCGCGGCUCGAGUGCCGGAGGGGAGAGUGGAAUUCCUGGUGUAGCGGUGAAAUGCGUAGAUAUCAGGAGGAAUACCGGUGGCGAAAGCGACUCUCUGGACGGCAACUGACGCUGAGGCACGAAAGCGUGGGGAGCAAACAGG